rnacentral:rRNA from 1 species
UGAACGCUAGCGGGAUUCUUUACACAUGCAAGUCGAACGGCAGCACGAGAUAAGCUUGCUUAUCUUGGUGGCGAGUGGCGAACGGGUGAGUAAUGUAUCGGAACGUGCCCAGUAGCGGGGGAUAACUACGCGAAAGCGUGGCUAAUACCGCAUACGCCCUACAGGGGAAAGGGGGGGAUCCUUCGGGACCUCUCACUAUUGGAGCGGCCGAUAUCAGAUUAGCUAGUUGGUGGGGUAAUGGCCUACCAAGGCCGCGAUCUGUAGCUGGUUUGAGAGGACGACCAGCCACACUGGGACUGAGACACGGCCCAGACUCCUACGGGAGGCAGCAGUGGGGAAUUUUGGACAAUGGGGGCAACCCUGAUCCAGCCAUCCCGCGUGUGCGAUGAAGGCCUUCGGGUUGUAAAGCACUUUUGGCAGGGAAGAAAAGGCACGGGCUAAUAUCCUGUGUCGCUGACGGUACCUGCAGAAUAAGCACCGGCUAACUACGUGCCAGCAGCCGCGGUAAUACGUAGGGUGCAAGCGUUAAUCGGAAUUACUGGGCGUAAAGCGUGCGUCGCGGUUUGGCAAGAAAGGUGUGAAAUCCCAAAGCUUAAACUUUGGAACUGCACUUUUUACCUGCCAGGCUAGAGUAUGUCAAAGGGGGGUA